GACAACGCUAAACCAUGCGGCGGCGCAAUCCCACUCUGCAUGGUCGGAGAAUUUGACUUGCCCUUAGAUAUCAUCGACCGCCGUGUCACCAAGAUGAAGAUGAUCUCCCCGUCGAAUGUCGCCGUCGACAUCGGUCGAACCCUCAAACCUCACGAGUACAUCGGCAUGGUCCGCCGCGAAGUCCUCGACGCUUACCUCCGUGACCGCGCCGCCGCGGCUGGGGCAACAGUAAUCAACGGUCUUUUCUUCAAAAUGGACAAACCAACCGACAAAUACGCACCUUACGUCCUCCAUUACAACGCGUAUGACGGCAAAGCAGGAUCCGCCGGAAAGAGAGAGACUAUCGAGGUCGAUGCAGUAAUCGGAGCCGACGGUGCUAACUCCCGUGUCGCAAAAUCCAUCGACGCCGGUGACUACGAGUACGCCAUAGCGUUCCAAGAACGCAUCAAAAUCCCAGCCGAUAAAAUGCAAUACUACGAAGACCUCGCAGAGAUGUACGUCGGAGACGACGUUUCGCCGGAUUUCUACGGCUGGGUGUUCCCAAAAUGCGAUCACGUGGCUGUCGGAACCGGAACUGUCACUCACAAACCCGAUAUCAAAAAAUUCCAACUUGCCACGCGCCUACGUGCCCGUGACAAGAUCCUCGGCGGUAAGAUCAUCCGGGUAGAAGCUCACCCGAUCCCGGAACACCCACGGCCGCGGAGACUGGCGGAGAGAGUGGCGCUUGUAGGAGAUGCAGCAGGGUACGUCACCAAAUGUUCCGGCGAAGGCAUCUACUUCGCGGCGAAGAGCGGGCGGAUGUGCGCGGAGGCGAUUGUUGAGGGAUCGGAGAACGGGAAAAGAAUGGUGGAUGAAGCGGAUUUGAGGAAGUAUUUGGAGAAAUGGGAUAAAACCUAUUGGCCGACGUACAAGGUGUUGGAUAUAUUGCAGAAGGUGUUUUACAGGUCGAAUCCGGCGAGGGAGGCGUUUGUGGAGAUGUGCGCCGAUGAGUAUGUGCAGAAGAUGACGUUUGACAGCUAUUUGUACAAGAAGGUAGCUCCGGGGAAUCCAUUGGAGGACUUGAAGCUCG
rnacentral:lncRNA from 1 species